UCUAGUCCUAGAGGCAUUGCAGGUGUGGCUGCUAUGUCACAUUUGUGUCAGUAGGUGGCAAAGAGGAGAGAGGCUAUGUCCACAUUCAGUGUUCUGACCUGUGAACCUCUGAAUGAUCAGUAACCUAACACU